rnacentral:rRNA from 1 species
CACGUAGGCACCAAGCGUUAUCCGGAUUUAUUGGGCGUAAAGAGCUCGUAGGCGGUUCGGUAAGUCGGGUGUGAAAACUCUGGGCUCAACCCAGAGAGGCCACCCGAUACUGCUGUGACUAGAGUGCGGUAGGGGAGCGGGGAAUUCCUGGUGUAGCGGUGAAAUGCGCAGAUAUCUGGAGAAUACCGGUGGCGAAGGCGGCAUCCUGGACCGGCAUUGACGCUGAUGAGCGAAAGCUAGGGGAGCAAACGGGAUUAAGAAAC